GAUAUUUGACAAUGGGCGAAAGCCUGUUCCAGCCAUGCCGCGUGUGGGAGGAGAUGCUUCGUCUUGUAAAGCACUUUAAGUUGGGAGUAACGGCAGCAAGUUCAUACCUCGCUGUUUUCACGUUACUGACUGAAUAAGCUCUGGCUCACUUCGGGCCAGCAGCCGCGGUAAUAGUAAGGGUUGAAGCGUUAAUCGGAAUUACUGGGCGUAAAGCGCGCGUAGGUGGUUUGUUAAGUUGGAAGUGGAAGCCCCGGGCUCAACCUGGGAACUGCUUUCAAAACUGGCAAGCUAGAGUAUGGCAGAGGGUGGUGGAAUUUCCUGUGUAGCGGUGAAAUGCGUAGAUAUAGGAAGGAACACCAGUGGCGAAGGCGACCACCUGGGCUAAUACUGACACUGAGGUGCGAAAGCGUGGGGAGCAAACAGG
rnacentral:rRNA from 1 species